rnacentral:rRNA from 1 species
AGUUGCGAUCAUACCAGCACUAAUGCACCGGAUCCCAUCAGAACUCCGCAGUUAAGCGUGCUUGGGCGAGAGUAGUACUUGGAUGGGUGACCCCCUGGGAAGUCCUCGUGUUGCAACCC